UAGGGAAUCUUCGGCAAUGGGGGCAACCCUGACCGAGCAACGCCGCGUGAGUGAAGAAGGUUUUCGGAUCGUAAAGCUCUGUUGUAAGAGAAGAACGAGUGUGAGAGUGGAAAGUUCACACUGUGACGGUAACUUACCAGAAAGGGACGGCNAANUACGUGCCAGCAGCCGCGGUAAUACGUAGGUCCCGAGCGUUAUCCGGAUUUAUUGGGCGUAAAGCGAGCGCAGGUGGUUAGAUAAGUCUGAAGUUAAAGGCUGUGGCUUAACCAUAGUACGCUUUGGAAACUGUUUAACUUGAGUGCAGAAGGGGAGAGUGGAAUUCCAUGUGUAGCGGUGAAAUGCGUAGAUAUAUGGAGGAACACCGGUGGCGAAAGCGGCUCUCUGGUCUGUAACUGACGCUGAGGCUCGAAAGCGUGGGGAGCAAACAGGAUUAGAUACCCUGGUAGUCCACGCCGUAAACGAUGAGUGCUAGGUGUUGGGUCCUUUCCGGGACUCAGUGCCGCAGCUAACGCAUUAAGCACUCCGCCUGGGGAGUACGACCGCAAGGUUG
rnacentral:rRNA from 1 species